rnacentral:ncRNA from 1 species
AGAAAAUGCCAAAUCUAUCGUGAGGUAGAGACGGAAAGCCACGGAUCUUAAUUUAAAAGACAGCCGGGUUGCCUCU